GUGAGCAUAGUUUAUAAAAAACACUAGAUUGUGACUCUAGAAACAGAAAUUUACUUCUUGCACACC
rnacentral:tRNA from 2 species